rnacentral:lncRNA from 1 species
UUUUUUUUAAAAAUCGCUAGGAAUGAAACCACGAAGGCAUUCAGUACGGAGGAUACAUCUGGUUGCAUCGUCAUGCAAUAUCUUGGGCUAGUCGCGAGCUAGGAACCAAGCAUCCUGGUCAAGACCUGAGAAACCACGAAGGUUACCUCUUCGAGACCCCAUCACCAGCGUCAAGGAAACAGAUUAUCGAACCUAAGAAUCAAAUCUACAGAUCUGAAACUAAG